rnacentral:rRNA from 1 species
AGCGGACGCUGGCGGCAGGCUUAACACAUGCAAGUCGAACGCCCCGCAAGGGGAGUGGCAGACGGGUGAGUAACACGUGGGAACGUACCCUUUGGUUCGGAAUAACUUGGGGAAACUCAAGCUAAUACCGGAUAAGCCCUUAUGGGGAAAGGUUUACUGCCGAAGGAUCGGCCCGCGUCUGAUUAGCUAGUUGGUGAGGUAAUGGCUCACCAAGGCGACGAUCAGUAGCUGGUCUGAGAGGAUGAUCAGCCACACUGGGACUGAGACACGGCCCAGACCCCUACGGGAGGCAGCGGUGGGGAAUAUUGGACAAUGGGCGCAAGCCUGAUCCAGCCAUGCCGCGUGGGUGAUGAAGGCCCUAGGGUUGUAAAGCCCUUUCGGCGGGGAAGAUAAUGACGGUACCCGCAGAAGAAGCCCCGGCUAACUUCGUGCCAGCAGCCGCCGUAA